rnacentral:rRNA from 1 species
AUACGUAGGGGGCGAGCGUUAUCCGGAAUUAUUGGGCGUAAAGAGUACGUAGGUGGUUUUGUAAGCGCAGGGUGAAAGCCCGGGGCUCAACUCCGGCGAGCCCUGCGAACUGCAAGACUUGAGUGCAGGAGGGGAAAGUGGAAUUCCUGGUGUAGCGGUGAAAAGCGUAGAUAUCAGGAGGAAUACCGGUGGCGAAGGCGACUUUCUGGACUGUAACUGACACUGAGGUACGAAAGCGUGGGGAGCAAACAGGAUUAGAUUCCCUGGUAGUCCACGCGGUAAACGAUGAGCACUAGGUGUUGGCGUAGCAAUACGUCGGUGCCGCAGUUAACGCAUUAAGUGCUCCGCCUGGGGAGUACGCACGCAAGUGUGAAACUCAAAUGAAUUGACGGGG